CCAUGGCAGGGACACCUCCCACUGUCCCAGGCUGCUCCAAGCCCUGCCCAGCCUGGCCUUGGGCACUGCCAGGGAUCCAGGGGCAGCCACAGCUGCUCUGGGCACCCUGUGCCAGGGCCUGCCCACCCUCACAGGGAACAAUUCCUAAUUCCCAAUAUUCCAUCCAGCCCUGCCCUCUGGCAGUGGGAGCCAUUCCCUGUGUCCUGUCCCUCCAUGCCUUGUCCCCAGUCCCUCUGCAGCUCUCCUGGAGCCCCUUUAGGCCCUGGCAGGGGCUCUGAGGUGUCCCUGGAGCCUUCUCCUCUGCAGGUGAGCACCCCAGCUCUGCCAGCCUGGCUCCAGAGCAGAGGGGCUCCAGCCCUUGGGGCAUCUCCAGGGCUCCUCUGGACUCUCUGCAGCAGCUCCAUCCAUCACUGAUGGGAAAGGAUCUGCUCCUGCUGCAGAUCAAAUCAUUCCUGAACAAAGCUUGCCAGGAAAACUCCAGAUGGACUUAGAGCCCCCGCCAGCUUUUUCCGUCUGGAGGAAGGGACAGAUUGGAGGUGAAUCACUCACUGCCCUGUCCUAAGCAGAUGAAGGUCAAGAUAAUGGGAUCUCAGUGUUUCUGAGAAAUGCUCCUUAAUCAGCACUUCCCUUUGAUGGCUAUUCUUUAAUUCGAGGUUCAGGUUUGAGGAGCUGCCAGGUAACCCCUUUGAACUUCUGCUGAGGUUCACAUGUGGGUUUCCACCUAAAGCCACAGAGCAACAGACCCGCGGCCAAACGCUGACCUGGCACCAGGCAGUGAUGCUGCUCCAAAGGAACUCUGGAAUAAUGCCUCAUCUUACCUGAGAAAUUGCUGGGAUAACCCUGCAUCCCACCUGGGAAACUGCUGGGAUAACCCUGCAUCCACCUGAGAAACUGCUGGGGUAACACCUCAUCCCACCUGGGAAACUGCUGGGGUAACACCUCAUCCC